UGGUAGUCCACGCCGUAAACGAUGUCUACUUGGAGGUUGUGGCCUUGAGCCGUGGCUUUCGGAGCUAACGCGUUAAGUAGACCGCCUGGGGAGUACGGUCGCAAGAUUAAAACUCAAAUGAAUUGACGGGGGCCCGCACAAGCGGUGGAGCAUGUGGUUUAAUUCGAUGCAACGCGAAGAACCUUACCUACUCUUGACAUCCAGAGAACUUUCCAGAGAUGGAUUGGUGCCUUCGGGAACUCUGAGACAGGUGCUGCAUGGCUGUCGUCAGCUCGUGUUGUGAAAUGUUGGGUUAAGUCCCGCAACGAGCGCAACCCUUAUCCUUGUUUGCCAGCGAGUAAUGUC
rnacentral:rRNA from 1 species